rnacentral:rRNA from 3 species
GGACUACAGGGGUAUCUAAUCCCGUUCGCUCCCCUAGCUUUCGUGCAUCAGCGUCAGAAAACGCCCAGUAAGCCGCUUUCGCUCCUGGUGUUCCUUACGAUAUCAACGCAUUUCACCGCUCCACCGUAAGUUCCGCUUACCUCUGCGUUCCUCAAGCCCAGUAGUUUAGGGCGCAAUUCCUCGGUUGAGCCGAGGGCUUUCACACCCUACUUUCUGAGCCGCCUACGCACCCUUUAAGCCCAGUGAAUCCGAAUAACGUUUGGACGGUUCGUCUUACCGCGGCUGCUGGCAC